rnacentral:rRNA from 1 species
UAUGACGGGUAUCCGGCCUGAGAGGGUGAUCGGACACACUGGAACCGAGACACGGUCCAGACUCCUACGGGAGGCAGCAGUAGGGAAUACUGCUCGAUGGGCGAAAGCCUGAAGCAGCAACGCCGCGUGGAGGAUGAAGGUUUUAGGAUUGUAAACUCCUUUUGUUAGAGAAGAUUAUGACGGUAUCUAACGAAUAAGCACCGGCUAACUCCGUGCCAGCAGCCGCGGUAAUACGGAGGGUGCAAGCGUUACUCGGAACCACUGGGCGUAAAGAGUGCGUAGGCGGGAAGGUAAGUCAGAUGUGAAAUCCUGUAGCUUAACUACAGAACUGCAUUUGAAACUACUUUUCUAGAGUGUGGGAGAGGUAGGUGGAAU